AUUGAACGCUGGCGGCAUGCCUUACACAUGCAAGUCGAACGGCAGCGCGGGGCAACCUGGCGGCGAGUGGCGAACGGGUGAGUAACAUAUCGGAACAUACCCUAGAGUGGGGGAUAACGUAGCGAAAGUUACGCUAAUACCGCAUACGCACUAAGGUGGAAAGUGGGGGAUCUUCGGACCUCAUGCUCAUGGAGUGGCCGAUAUCUGAUUAGCUAGUUGGUGAGGUAAAGGCUCACCAAGGCGACGAUCAGUAGCUGGUUUGAGAGAACGACCAGCCACACUGGAACUGAGACACGGUCCAGACUCCUACGGGAGGCAGCAGUGGGGAAUUUUGGACAAUGGGGCGAACCCUGAUCCAGCAAUGCCGCGUGAGUGAAG
rnacentral:rRNA from 1 species